rnacentral:piRNA from 1 species
UACUUAGUUGUUUUCAGACAUUUUGUCU